rnacentral:rRNA from 1 species
UUCCCUACACGACGCUCUUCCGAUCUUUGGCAUCUGGAGCCGAAGAAGGACGUAGCAAUCUGCGAUAAGCCUCGGGGAGUUGAUAAGCGAACUUUGAUCCGAGGAUUUCCGAAUGGGGAAACCCCGCUGGGCGGCUUGCCGACCCAGUGACUCCCGCCUGAAUAUAUAGGGCGGGUAGAGGGAACGUGGGGAAGUGAAACAUCUCAGUACCCACAGGAAGAGAAAGCAAAAGCGAUUCCGUAAGUAGUGGCGAGCGAACGCGGAAGAGGCUAAACCGAGCGUGUGUGAUAGCCGGCAGGCGUUGCACGUUCGGGGUUGCGGGACUUUUCAUGUUUCUCUGCCGAGAAGCGAGCGUGAUGUGAAGAUAUAGACGAAUGGCAUUGAAAGGCCAGCCACAGCGGGUGCCAGCCCCGUAGUCGAAAUGUCUCUCACAGCGCGAGAAGUAUCCCAAGUAGCACGGGGCCCGAGAAAUCCCGUGUGAAUCUGUCAGGACCACCUGAUAAGCCUAAAUACUCCCAGAUGACCGAUAGCGGACAAGUACCGUGAGGGAAAGGUGAAAAGUACCCCGGGAGGGGAGUGAAAUAGUACCUGAAACCGUUUGCUUACAAACCGUUGGAGCAGCCCUGGUAGCUGUGACAGCGUGCCUUUUGAAGAAUGAGCCUGCGAGUUAGCGAUAUGUGGCGAGGUUAACCCGAGUGGGGUAGCCGUAGCGAAAGCGAGUCUGAAUAGGGCGAUUCAGUCGCAUGUCCUAGACCCGAAGCGAAGUGAUCUAUCCAUGGCCAGGUUGAAGCGACGGUAAGACGUCGUGGAGGACCGAACCCACUUAGGUUGAAAACUGAGGGGAUGAGCUGUGGAUAGGGGUGAAAGGCCAAUCAAACUUCGUGAUAGCUGGUUCUCUCCGAAAUGCAUUUAGGUGCAGCGUUGCGUGUUUCUUGCCGGAGGUAGAGCUACUGGAUGGCCGAUGGGGCCCAAAAGCUUACUGACGUCAGCCAAACUCCGAAUGCCGGUAAGUGAGAGCGCAGCAGUGAGACUGUGGGGGAUAAGCUUCAUAGUCGAGAGGGAAACAACCCAGACCACCAACUAAGGUCCCUAAGCGCGUGCUAAGUGGAAAAGGAUGUGGAGUUGCUCUGACAACCAGGAGGUUGGCUUAGAAGCAGCCACCCUUGAAAGAGUGCGUAAUAGCUCACUGGUCAAGUGAUUCCGCGCCGACAAUUUAACGGGGCUCAAGCACGUCACCGAAGUUGUGGCAUUGACAUUAUUGGUAGGCCUUCGUGGUCCAGCCGUGUUGAUGGGUAGGAGAGCGUCGUGUGGCGAGUGAAGCGGCGGUGUGAACCAGCCGUGGACGCUACACGAGUGAGAAUGCAGGCAUGAGUAGCGAAAGACGUGUGAGAAACACGUCCUCCGAAAGACCAAGGGUUCCAGGGUCAAGCUAAUCUUCCCUGGGUAAGUCGGGACCUAAGGCGAGGCCGACAGGCGUAGUCGAUGGACAACGGGUUGAUAUUCCCGUACCCGCGAAGAACCGCCCAAGCUAAUCCAGUGGUGCUAAGAGUCCUAGCUCGGAAUGAUCCGAUCCCUUCGGGGUGACGACGUCCGUGUGAACGCUCGACCCCAUGCUGGUGCGGCUAGCGUAUUAACAGGUGUGACGCAGGAAGGUAGCCGGUCCUGGGCGAUGGUAGUCCCAGGCCAAGUGCGUAGGCCGAGAGGUAGGCAAAUCCGCCUCUCAUGUGGCUGAGACACGAAGGGGAGCCGUAACAGGCAAGAUCCGGUGAUCCUAUGCUGCCAAGAAAAGCAUCGACGCGAGGUUCUAGUGGCCCGUACCCCAAACCGACUCAGGUGGUCAGGUAGAGAAUACCAAGGAGAUCGAGAGAAUCGUGGUUAAGGAACUCGGCAAAAUGCCCCCGUAACUUCGGGAGAAGGGGGGCCUUCGGCGUAUUAGGACUUGCUCCGAAAGCGUUUGGAGGCCGCAGAGACUAGUGGGUAGCGACUGUUUACUAAAAACACAGGUCCGUGCCAAGUCGCAAGACGAUGUAUACGGACUGACGCCUGCCCGGUGCUGGAAGGUUAAGAGGACCGGUUAGCCGCAAGGCGAAGCUGAGAAUUUAAGCCCCAGUAAACGGCGGUGGUAACUAUAACCAUCCUAAGGUAGCGAAAUUCCUUGUCGGGUAAGUUCCGACCUGCACGAAUGGCGUA